UUUGUUUGGAACGAUGAAGGAACCACGCUUUUAGCAUUCUCGUUCGCAGACAAGUUUAAGAGGGAAACCGGUGAAAAUCCGGUGCGGUCCCGCCACUGUAAGGGGGAGCUGUGAUUCAUUGCCACUGAGCAUGCGCUCGGGAAGGGAAUUGACAGCUACGAUCCUAAGCCAGGAGACCUGCCUUUUCUUAAAACACCCA
rnacentral:ncRNA from 2 species